GAUGUAGCACAUUAACAAUGGCAACAAAGAGAGGCAGGUGGCUGAAUCUUCAUCCUCAGAGACCAAAUUGCUGUGGAGAUUCUGGCAAUGGAGGCUUGCUCGAAGGAAAUGGUUGGGGGUGGGAAAUGUAUCAAGCUUUGGAGAUAAGCAUUCAAGUAAAAUGUCAUGGAAGAAAAAGGCAAGUAUGUGCCCUCAAAAAUUCAACCCAAUUAGGUGUUCCAAGGAAGAACACUGUGACUUGGGAAAAAGACCCGGGGUGUGAGAUCCAAAUACGAAGCUAGUAAAAUAGUAGCAGGAGUGUGACUGGUCUUCCUGCCACUAACAAAAAUAGGUGCUGAGAAAAUCCGAAAACUUCGCUUCUCCAAGAAGCUGUUAAUAUGAUAGCAGUGAUCCAUUUUUAAUACAAGGAAAAAAGUCAGUUCUCUGCGGAUGCAAAGGCGGAGGGCUCAUUAAUCCGUGGUAAUGAACUCUGCCCGGUCCUUCCGGUCUGCUGCGGAUUGCAGCACGCCACGGCGUGCCUCAUUGCUCAAUCAAGGUUUUCGGCUGGUGUUGCAGAUCUGCCCUGCAGACCGGAACUUGGACAUCGCGGCUGACGGCGGCUGGCCUCGUGUCCCAGCAGAGCAGAGGACAGAACGCUGCGCUCACCUUGUGAAUUUUUUUUUCUUUUUUUUUUUUUUUUGCUGACUAAUGCUCUCCUUCUGUGCAAAGCGUCCUCUUCUCUCGCUUUUAAGACCACAAAGCGUAACCAUCCAUGAAUUGUUGCCAGACAUCACCAAGCCAUUCCUGGGUUUUUCCCACAGUCAUCCUGUGCUGCUUUGGAUUUUUCUCAAUGAUGAAACCAUCAGAACCAUUUGUUGUACCUUAUUUAGCAGGACCAGAUAAAAACAUAAGCCUCAGCACGAUCACAAAAGAGGUCUUUCCCAUCUGGACAUACUCUUACCUGGCACUGCUGCUCCCAGUGUUCAUCGUCACCGACUACGUCCGCUACAAGCCAGUCAUUAUCCUGCAGGGGAUCAGCUUCGUCGUCACCUGGCUGCUGCUUGUGUUUGGUCAAGGAUUAAGAGCCAUGCAGGUGCUAGAGUUCUUCUAUGGGAUGGUCUCCGCCACCGAGGUGGCCUACUAUGCCUACAUUUACAGCGUGGUCAGCCCGGAGCACUACCAGAAAGUGAGCGGCUACUGCAGGAGCGUCACCCUGGUGGCCUACACGGUGGCCUCGGUGCUGGCCCAGCUCCUGGUAUCCCUGGCCAGCCUAUCGUACUUUCACCUCAACGUCAUAUCCUUGGCCUCUGUCUGUGUGGCCCUUCUUUCCUCCCUGUUCCUACCGAUGCCUGAGAAGAGCAUGUUUUUUCAUGUACAACCCGGCAAAGGAGCUCCUCCCAAGCCACCGGGAAAGGAUGCUUUCUCAAAGGAACCACAAAAGGAUCGCAAACCGGUCUGCAAAGGAUUAGUCACCUUUUCAGGGAACCUGGGUGACGACGAUCCGCUGAACGAUCCAAAGCCGGGAAAUGUAACGUUGAGAGUUUUUGUGCAGUGGUUCCAAGAUUUGAAGGGUUGCUACUCCUCAAAGCAUCUUUUUUACUGGUCCCUGUGGUGGGCUUUUUCCACAGCAGGUUUUAACCAGGUUUUGAACUACGUUCAAAUCCUGUGGGAUUACAAGGCACCAUCCCAGAGCUCUGCAAUCUAUAAUGGGGCAGUAGAAGCCCUUGCAACGUUUGGAGGGGCUCUGGCAGCCUUCACAGCGGGCUGUGUGAAAGUCAAUUGGAACCUCGCGGGAGAGCUGGCUCUGGCGAUCUUCUCAGCGGCAGAUGCAGGUUCUCUACUUCUCAUGCAUCACACAACUAAUAUUUGGGUGUGCUAUGCCGGUUUUUUGAUAUUCAAGUCAAGUUACAUGCUUCUCAUAACGAUAGCAGCAUUUCAGAUUGCUGUUAACCUCAGUGUGGAACGCUAUGCCCUGGUAUUUGGAAUCAACACCUUCGUUGCCUUGGUGAUCCAGACUGUCAUGACUAUAGCUGUGGUUGACAACCAGGGACUGGGGCUUCCGGUCAGCAUACAGUUUUUAAUCUAUGGGAGUUAUUUCUCUGUUAUUGCUGGAAUUUUCCUAAUGAGAAGCGUUUACAUAAUCUAUUCAGCCAAAUGCAGACAGGGAAGAUGUAAUUCUACUACUGACCAGAAUCCACAUGAUCCAGGGGACUCCAUUUCUGAUAUGAACACAGUGACGCAGUUUUAGCCUGGUUUCUCCUAUCAUGGACUCAGAAGACGGACUGUUCUGAAAAUAUAUGGCGCUAAACUACAUGGCAUUUUAAUUUUUUGUCCUAGAUUAAGACACCGUAAAAGACAGAAUUAUCAUCAACACUACAUCAAAACCUCAGCUACGGGCUGGUGAGCAGGGUACAACCAAAAACUGGAGUUGACCAAGUUGAAACCAGCUAUCUUUAUGGCCUCGAUGUGAUCAAAGUUCACAAUCAGUUGACUUUCAGUAAGGGAGAUUAUCCUAGAUAAUCUAGAUGGGACCAAUCCAAUCAGUUGAAAGGCCUUAAGAGAAGAACUGAGCCUUCCCAGAAGAAGGAGAAGUUCUAUCUGUGGACAGGAGCUUCGGGUCAUGCCUGAGAGUUCUAGCCCACGCGUCCUGAUGGCCUGCCCUAUGAGUUUUGAACUUAGCCUCAUCAGCCCUGACAAUCAAGUAAGCCAACUCCUUGAAAUACAUUUUUUUACUAUAUGUGUCCACUGGUUCUGUUUCUCAGGUUGAAUCCUGAUUGAUACAGAUUUUGGUACCAGGAGUGGUUGUAGAGGACACAUCUACAAGGCCAACUUUUCUGAACUGUUUCUGGGUUUCCUGGAACUGGGUAUCUAAUCUAGUUAGGUUUUAAGCCACCAUGAAUCUGUUUCCGGUCAUAAAGAGACCACUAACAGUCAUGGCAUGAUGUAGUUUUAGACAUACAAGUGUCACCAUUGGGCCCUCCUAAUCAAAUACUACAUUAGUUUCCUAAUGAUCUUAUAACAAACUACCACAAAUGGAGAGGCAUUAAACAACAGGAACUUAUUUUCUCAAAGUUAUGAAGGCUAGAAGUCUGAAAUCAAGGUGUUGGUGAGGUCCUACUUGCUCUCUGAAAACUUGGUCUCGGGGAGGGUUCUUCCUUGCCUCUUCCUAGAUUUUAGCAGUUUCUGGCAAUUCUUAGCCUCCCUUGACUUGUAGACACAUCACUCCAGUCUGUUCUUCUGGUGUCACAUGAUGUUCUCCCUUUGUGUCUGUGUCUCUAUGUCCAAAGUCCCCUCUUAGUAUAAGGAGACCAAUCAUGUUGGAUUUAGGGUUGACCCUAAUAAAGUUACGUUAAUAGGUUCCAGAUGAGCAUAAAUUUUGGACGGGACAAUAUUCAGCCCAGUUGAAAUACCUAUAGGAGGUGAGAUUCUGGAUUGCUGUGUAUUUGUCAGUUCAGGAUGUUUUACUUAACCUGAAGAGAAUAAUGGAAUUGGCAGGCUGCUCCUGGAGCAGUACACACACACACACACACACACACA